UACGGAGGGUGCAAGCGUUGUCCGGAUUUAUUGGGUUUAAAGGGUGCGUAGGCGGCCCGUUAAGUCAGUGGUGAAAGCCUCCAGCUCAACUGGAGAACUGCCAUUGAUACUGACGGGCUUGAGUACAGACGAGGUUGGCGGAAUUGAUUGUGUAGCGGUGAAAUGCAUAGAUACAAUCAAGAACGCCGAGUGCGUAGGCAGCUAACUAGGCUGUAACUGACGCUGAGGCACGAAAGCGUGGGGAGCGAACAGG
rnacentral:rRNA from 1 species